rnacentral:lncRNA from 1 species
CGUGGCUGCUGGCAGAGCAAGCAUGAAUUCGAUGACUUCAGCAGUUCCGGUGGCCAAUUCUGUGUUGGUGGUGGCACCCCACAAUGGUUAUCCUGUGACCCCAGGAAUUAUGUCUCACGUGCCCCUGUAUCCAAACAGCCAGCCGCAAGUCCACCUAGUUCCUGGGAACCCACCUAGUUUGGUGUCGAAUGUGAAUGGGCAGCCUGUGCAGAAAGCUCUGAAAGAAGGCAAAACCUUGGGGGCAUUUUCGGAAAGAGAAAGAAAAGCAACAAAAAAGCAGCACGCUUGAAGGUUGAUCCUGUUGCCAGGAUCCACGCCCAGCCCUGUGGCCUCUGAAGAAAGGGGUCCCAGCAAGACCAAAAUAGACCACAAGGUGGAGUCAGAAUCCAAUAAGAUCGAAUCAAAUAUUUGCCCAACAGGAAACAAAGCAGGUUAGGCAACCAACAACAUAAAUGGUCACCGCAACCCCUGAGAGGCUGUCCUGC